rnacentral:rRNA from 1 species
UGCGUAGGCGGAUCAGUAAGUCAGUGGUGAAAUCUUCCGGCUCAACCGGGAACCUGCCAUUGAUACUGUUAGUCUUGAGUUCGGCUGAGGUAGGCGGAAUGUGUAAUGUAGCGGUGAAAUGCUUAGAUAUUACACAGAACACCAAUUGCGUAGGCAGCUUACUAGACCGACACUGACGCUGAGGCACGAAAGCGUGGGGAGCGAACAGGAUUAGAUACCCUGGUAGUCC